ACAAAGCAUCAGAUCUGCAGCUUCAGGGUCCAAUUUCUGCUGUCCUCUCUCCAUCUCCUCUCCGCACCAUGGCCCAGGCCACUGUGACUCUCUGCCUCCUGGGGCUAUUCCUGGAAGGUUGCUAUGCUCAGGUGACUCAGCCACCCACAGCAUCUGUGUCUCUAGGAGGGACGGUCCGACUCUCCUGCACGUUAGGGGGCAGUUACACUGUCAGUAGCAACCGUGUGCUUUGGUUACAGCAGAAGCCGGGGAAUGCCCCCAGGUUCCUCCUGUACUUUUUCACUGAGUCUAAUAAAGGCAUGGGCUCCGGGGUUCCCAGCCGGUUCUCUGGCUCUCGCUCUGGUUCAGACAAGGAAGGCUAUUUAACAAUCUCUGGGGCCGUGGAAGAGGAUGAUGCUGAUUAUUACUGUACUACCUGGACUGGGAGUGCUUGCACAGUGCUGCAGGGCUGCAGGGAAGUGGGACAAGAACCACCCACCACCUGCGCCUCUCAGAUUACUAGACCAUAUGCCAGACAGUGCACACAGGCUCUUGAACCUAGUGCACCACCAGCACUGAAAGUCUGA